CAGCGUGAACCAGUGUACCGGGACCUGAGGACCAGUGAGGUGGACCAGUGUACAGGACCAACAGCGUGAACCAGUGUACCGGGACCUGAGGACCAGUAGUGUGGACCAGUGUACCGGGACUCUGCAGCGUGGACCAGUGUACCGGGUCACUGUAGCGGGGUCAGGGAGGGAUGGCGUGGACCCCGAUACUGCCACUCAUCAUGGCCUCCAGCCUUACGGGCUGCUGGGGGCUACACAUCGUGGAUCUGGUGGUGCCGGAGGUGAUACAACGGGUCACGGUCGUCAGUGAUCCUGGACUGUGACUACAGGUAUGAACCCUACGAGAAGGAAGGCAUCGUCGUCAAUUGGUUCUUUAACCAUGACCCUGAGGCUGUGUACCAGUGGAUCCCCGGCAAGAACCCCGAGUCUAUGGGUGUACUGAAGGGUGUGUCAACCUGCAGUUUCCGCCAGUCGUGACCCUCUC